rnacentral:rRNA from 1 species
UACGUAGGGUGCAAGCGUUGUCCGGAAUUAUUGGGCGUAAAGGGCUCGUAGGCGGUCUGUCACGUCGGGAGUGAAAACUCAGGGCUUAACCCUGAGCCUGCUUCCGAUACGGGCAGACUAGAGGUAUGCAGGGGAGAACGGAAUUCCUGGUGUAGCGGUGAAAUGCGCAGAUAUCAGGAGGAACACCGGUGGCGAAGGCGGUUCUCUGGGCAGUAACUGACGCUGAGGAGCGAAAGCGUGGGGAGCGAACAGG